rnacentral:lncRNA from 1 species
GAAAAGGCUGUAAUAGCCAUUCAUUGCCUACAUAUCCGAUUGGCUAUUCCAUCCGGCUCUCUUUUCCCAAUUUUCCAAUUUCUGCCUUCCUUCAUCUUCUCCUUCACUUUCUUGCCAUUUUUCAGAUCUUCCCCUUCAUCUUCUCCCACAGAUCUGUAACUUUCUCUCCUUCUGUUCCCAUAUUUCAGGUAAUUUAUUUUUUCCUUCUUUUUAACGUUUCUCUUUUGUACUUUAGAAACUGAAGCAAAGGCGAAGAAAAUAGAGAAAAAGAUGACAAAAAAAUUUACUGGAAAUGUUAGACAGUGUUUCUUUUCUUUAGUUUACUAGUUUCGAAAUUUUUAACUCUUUGCUUAAAACCCAUUUCUUGGAUUUCGUUGUUUUUUCAGGGUUUCUAAAAAGAAGAAAUUUUCAAGGUAAUAUGCUUUGUACCCUUUUACUUCUACUUCUUGUUUUAAACCCUUUCUUGCAUGUGAUCUUUGCUGAGACAGUUUAUGCAUGUCUAUGGUCUUGCAUUUUCUUUCUCCAUCUUGCCGAAGUAGAGAGUCCCUUGUGUAGUUGACCUUUGUCAAGGUGAGUCUUUUCAUAUUCCAGAUAUAAGAGGAAAAAAUUCAGCCAAUCUCUUUGCUGUUUACCCGGCAUGAUGACUUUGUGAAGUUAAGUGGCUAAAAUUUCUUGUUUUUGGCUGUUGAUUCUCAUCAUUAUGGUUCAGGCUACUAGUUCAUAAACAGAAAAAACAUAAUAUAUAUUUUUAUCAUAAAUGUAGUUUCAUGCAUGAGUAGAUAUUACUGUAAUUGGAAUUUUGAUUUCAUGUACCUGCAUUCUCUCCUUGUUAGCAUCGCGUAUUACUCUUCCCUUGUCCAGUAAUGAUGGAUUAAGCGGAUCUCAGUGAUUCUUAUAUUAAAAGAUGGGAGUUUUGUUAGUUUCUCUGAACUGUUGAUUCUAGUUCUUGGAGUUCGGGAACUCCUAAAUUUCCAUAUUUCCUUUUAUCUGGCUUUGCAAUUGCAUGUAAAUCUGUUGUUGAAGUUUUCAAUUGGAAAUGGUUUCUAUAUUUUUCUUGAAUGAUCUGUUUAUAUUGUGCUCUGGAUUUUUUUUUUAAAAAAAGAAGAAAAAAUUAUCCAAUUUACGUUUAUUAAAGUUAGCAUUGCAAAUUGUCCAUGAAGCAUGGAGUUUAGAGGAUGGAUACUAAAUCACAAGGGCUAGUUUAUUAUUAUUAUUAUUAUUAUUAUUAGUAUUAUUAUUAUUAUUAUUAUUAUUAUUAUUUUCUUGAAGGAAUGUUCGAUUUCAUUCUUGCAUAAACAAGUAAUAGAAUUAAAUGGGGGAAAAUUGAUUCUUCUUGGAGGAUAUGAAAUCCCACCAUGUAAACGUCAUACUUGAGAUAUUUGGGAAAUGAGGGGAAAAAUUAGACACUCUAGGAGACCCUUUAAUAUCAUUAGCGAUAACUUUUCCUUUUUCCCUUGCAUCUUGUGGUCUUUUUUUUUGUAAUAUUAUUCCCCUUAUCAUUAUACUUAUUGGAAGUUAUUACAACAGUUUUAGUGCACUGUCACUGCUCAGACAGACUGUCGAGGGAGCCUUACAUUACAACCUUACAUUAUUGCACUGUCCCCUGCAUCUUGUGGUCAAUUUAACUUUUACUUGUUUUAUAAGAAAGACUCAUUUAGCAACUCAAUAACUAAUCUUCGUGGCUGAUCAUAACAGCCAAUUUCUUCUCAAGUCACUCCCUAAUUUGUGUAUAUCUAAUACACUUGGAACAAGAGAUGAGCUUGGUAGUUUUUGUUGGUUUAUAAGGACAAGGAAAUAAUAAUAGUAUGCUUUUUCUUAGAGAAAUAAUAAUUUGGAUUUUCAUAACAUGUUACUAUAAAUUACAAAAAGAAAAGAAGAUUACAUUAUGAGACAAAUGUACUAAGAUUAUGGCACAUGGAACAUAUAUCUAUGCUGGUGGGAACAUCCUAUCCUAGUCCCUUGUGCAUUUAUGCUAAUGCUAGCAGUAAUGUAAGAGUUUUUCGAGGGAAAUUAAACUCUUGGGUAAACUUGAGAUUUGAGUGCAAUAAAUAAAAACAAAUAUUUUAUCAAUUUUUUAGGCAAAGAUAGAAAAGAUAGUUUGCAUGCUGUCGAGGAAUUUAACUGACCAAAAGAUAGAAUUUUUAGUGAAAUUUCUAGCUGUCAAGGGAGCUGCCGAAGCAUGCAGUUUGCAUGCAUGCUGUCUAAUUUCUUACCAAUUUAGGUGGUCUGAUCGAUGGUUGUUUAUUGUUGUCCAAAUAAUAAUUAAAGAUCAACCAAAUGAUGAGGGAAUUAAAAUGGUCUGAACAAUGUGAAACUAAAUUGUUAAAUAUUAACUAAUGAUGUCCAAAUGGAUAUGAUUUAUGAUGUUAGUAAGCUAAAAAUUUAGGUGUUAAAUGCUGCAAUUUAUGGUGUCUGAAAGUUGUGAUUUAUGAUAUUAAUAAUGAUGUAUUUUAAGUUGUUCGAAUGUGUUAAAGAGUUGAUUUAAUUUAAUGCAUAAUGGUUGUUUACUGUUGUUCAAAGCAUGAUGAAAUAAACAUGUUAGGCGUAGUUUAAUAUAUGCCUUGUUGAGCCGUAAGGUUGUCCAAAACAAGACAAAAUUUAGUUGUCUUUAAGAUGUUCGAAUGUGGUUGUUCGAAUGGUUCUCCAAAUGUGUCUUUAAGGUGCUCGAAAAUGUCAUAUUAAUGUUGUCCAUGUAUGAUUUAAUGUUUUAUCAUUUGGAGCUUUAAUAUUUUAACACAAGUGAUGUUAAUUUCUUGUCUUGAUAACAUCUUUAUUAUUUACUGAUACAGGUGGACAGACAAGUAUCAGGUAACAGACAUAAACAAAUAUCUUCACUGCAAUGAUGAUACCAUUACUCUUUUCUAGUAAUAUGGGAAAGACAAUAUAUACAUGUUAAACUACAUUUACAAUUCGGAUUGGAUCUUUUUACUUUAAACAAGAACAUUUUGGUUAUAUUUAAUUUUCGAUAUGUUUUUAUUUUUGAUAUGUUUCAUUUAAAACUAUUUUAAUCUUUUCAUAUAUUAUUAAACUAUUAUUAUUUUCGAUAUCUUUAAUUUAUGUUAUAUUUAAUUUUGGUCUUCAAACAAUGUUUUAUAUUACUUAUAUUAUUUGAUUAAAAAUUAUAAUUAACACUAUAAAAAUUCUGCUAAGGGUAUUUUAGUCAUUUUAGUUUUUUUUCUUAUACUAUUACAACAUAAGAAUACUAUUACAGUUCUAUUCCAUUCCAUUCAACCAAACAAUUAAAUUACUUAUUACAGUUCUAUUCAAUUACAACUUUAUUUCAUUAUAGUGAACCAAACGUACCCUCAGUAUUUUAUUAAUCUUGGGUUUGUAUAUAUGCCUAGAAAAAUGAUAAAAUCUUUUCAACUAAAUGAUAACGUGUUCAAUAGCUUCUUUUUUUUUUUUUUUCUUAUACUAGUUCCCAUGUGCUUUUAUAUGUUUAUUUUUUAAAUUUAUCAAAUAAUAUAUUUUUAUGAUUUAAAAGAAAAUAUAUUUACUAAUUAGAAGAGAAUUAAUCUAAUUUAUAAUAAAAUUAUAUUUAUUUUAAAAGUAGUGAAAAAUAAAAAGUGAGAAACAAUUAAUAGCAAAAUAUUAAAUAAUUAGAAAAAAUAAUUUGUCUUUUGAAUAGGAGUCGAAUUUUCAUCUACAAAGAACCAUUACUUUAAUACUUUAUUAAAUUUAACAUAAUAUUUCACAACAUUCACAAUUAUGUAAACAUUAUUAAAAUAAAAUAAUAGUAAAAUUAUCAAAUAUCUAAUAAAAAUAACUAAACAUCUCAAAUAAUAAUUAAAAUCAUACUUUUUUUCUUU